rnacentral:rRNA from 1 species
AUUGAACGCUGGCGGCAGGCCUAACACAUGCAAGUCGAGCGAGCGGCGGACGGGGGAGUGAUGUCUGGGAAACUGCUUGCUGGAGGGGGGUAACUACUGGAAAAGGUCGCUAGUACCGCAUACCAUCAGAUGUGCCCAGAUGGGAUUAGCUAGUAGGUGGGGUAACGGCUCACCUAGGCGACGCUCCCUAGCUGGGCUGAGAGGAUGACCAGCCACACUGGAACUGAGACACGGUCCAGACUCCUACGGGAGGCAGCAGUGGGGAAUAUUGCACAAUGGGCGCAAGCCUGAUGCAGCCAUGCCGCGUGUGUGAAGAAGGCCUUCGGGUUGUAAAGCACUUUCAGCGGGGAGGCGUUACCCGCAGAAGAAGCACCGGCUAACUCCGUGCCAGCAGCCGCGGUAAUAC